CUUUCUGUUAAGAGCGGCGGUGCUUCAGCAGCCAGUCCUCUGCGUCUGUCCAUGCAUGCACUAAGGGGCCGCGCCACCGUACGGAGUGGACACGGUAUGGGAAGGCAUGCUCACUUGCGGUGUUGAAGUCGGCGAGUGGGUCUCCCAGAGACGGGCUGCUAACCCAUUUGGAAAAGGUGCUGAUUUAGGGCAAGUCUCUCAGCAUUUGGCUUUAUUUCAUUUUUAGGAGGCGGAAUGGAUAGCGCAAAGAGAUUGACCAUGUUGUAGCCAUUUUCACCGGCCAUCGGAAAGAGGGCAUUUUGGCUGCGAGCGGGCGAGAGGGUUGGGCAGUUUGCUUCAGUUCUGCCGCUGCACUUUUUCAGGUGUCAAGUAAGUUUGUGCCGAUGGAGAAGCCAACGCAGCCUCAGCACCAGGCGGCAAUGGCGAAGAACACAGAAAGUCAGUCCGAGGACCUUUCUAAACUGUCAGAUGAGGAUUUAAUGAAGUGGAGUAAAGAGGAAUUAGUUCGCCGGUUGAGGAGAGCCGAAGGCGAGAAAAUGAGUGCCAUCCUGGACCACGGUAACCUCAUCCGAGAAGUGAACCGAAGGCUUCAGCAGCAUCUGAACGAGAUCCGCGGGUUGAAGGAUAUCAACCAGAAGCUGCAGGAGGACAACCAGGAGCUGCGUGACCUCUGCUGCUUCCUGGACGAUGACCGUCAGAAAGGCAAGAAGGUGUCACGCGAGUGGCAGCGCCUGGGCCGUUACAGUGCUGGCAUCAUGCGCAAGGAGGUGACGCUCUACUUGCAGAAGCUCAAAGAGCUGGAGCAGCGGCAGGAGGAGGUGAUCAAGGAGAACCUGGAGCUCAAGGAGCUCUGUCUCAUGCUGGACGAGGAGAAAGGAGGCAGUGGAGGUGGUGGUGGUGUCGGGGGAGGCCUGGGGGGACAGCAGGGAAGCUUGCUGGGCGGAGGAGGGCCAGGCGCGGCGGGGUGCCGGAGCUCCAUCGACAGCCAGAGCAGCCUGUCGCAUGCGACGGCGCCGGGCCUGCUAAGAGACGUGGGCGACGGCAGCAGUACGUCCAGCGCCGGCAGCACCGACAGCCCUGACCACCUGCACCACAAGCAGCAGCUGCUGGCCAGCACGGGUCACACAGGCACCGGCAGCCCCGACCACCACCUGCACAAGCUGCGGCCCGGGCUGGCACCGGGAGGCGGGGAGGACCCAGGCACGGACGGCGGCGGCGGUGACCGGCCAGGCCGGCGGAGGAGCAGCAGCCCGGAGUACGCGGCCCACACCUUGCCCCAGGUGUGCCGGCCCCGCUGUGGCUCCCUCUCGAGCCCUGACCACAAGCUCCUCCGCGGCCUCAGCCCAGAGAAACAUCACCACGGUGGCGGCGGCAAGGCGGGCCUGGCCCCCCGCGGCAGCCCCGAGCAGUACUCCAAGCACCCGCACCUGCUGGUGUCCGGCCAGGUGUGUCCCGGCAGCCCCGAGCUCUUCAAGAAGCACCACCGGGGGAGCAUGGGCAGCGUCGUCUGCAGCAGCCCCGACGGCAAGCAGGUGGUGACGGGCACGCCCGAGCACCUACAGAAGGGACGCGUGAUCUCCGGGAGUCCCGAGUCCAUCCGCCACCACUUCGGGGCCAGCCCGGAGCACGGCAAGUUUGGCAGCCCCGGCAGAGAGAUGGUCCACAAGAGGCAGGGAGGAGAGGAGAUGUCGCCCCAUCACCGGGGUCUCUACAACGGCAUGAAUGGUGGGUCAGACUGGAGCCUGCUGUAGCUCUGUUUUUUAUACGUGCUGAAACGCGACCGCGGAGCACUGUGUCUGUACAAAUAUGCAGCCUUUUGGCAAAACAUCGGCAAUGACUGACCUGGAAAAAUUCAAAACAGGGGGCCUUAUAGGAGUCUGCAGUCUUGCCAUCCAGCCAGGCACUAAUCCAUUGCAUUCAAAUCCAAUUUUGCUCUUAAUUGAACUCAUUUUGUUGCUCCUGUAUUUCGGAAUGGCAACCGAGUCAAAUCAGUGAAGCUAAAUGUUUUAGUGUCUGGCUCGAGCAAAUCCUGAGCUAUUGGGUGCAGACCGGUGGUGUCAAGUCUUGGUCCUGGAGGGACACAGUUUUCUGCAGGCGUUCGUUGGUCAACGUUGAACCAGCCUCUCAUUCACAAACACCCUGGGAUCCAUUUUUUCCCGUUGCGCUUUGGGGGAAAAGGCCAGGAGAGGGGAACCACUCAUCCGAUCCGUGUGGUCAGGGACGGGAGCUAAGCCAUUAUGAGCAGAGGCACAACUAAGCCCGGGGACACUGCAGCCCUCCAAGACCAGGAAUGGACACCACUGUUUUUACCAAAGGCUCCCAGCACUGAUAUCAGCGGGAUGUUGCACCACUUCGUGUAGAAGUGUCAAGUUUUGGGACAGCUUUGACGCCUCCUGACCACCGGCCUGAAUGGAUCCAGCUGCGGGUUGCUACUCUGGGUGAGAAGCAGGAACCUUGUGUCUCUCUUUCAACCAACCUCUGACCAGAAGGAAUUAAAGAAAAUAUCCUGAAAAAGAGAGAGAACAAGGGAAUAGAGAGAGAGAGAGAGAGAGAGAGAGAAAGAGAGAGAGAGAGAGAGGGAGACUGACCCAACUUCUGCUCCUCUCCCUGUCCUUGAGCCGGUGCCUGUUGGGUCAAGGCCAGGCCCCUAUGAUCCUUCUCCCUCACACACUUGCCGUGCGGAAAACCCAAGGAAGUAGCCCAGCUUCUCUGGAGGUGGAAAAACAAGAAGGCUUGAAACUCCCCCAAGAUUGCCAAAUGGAUUUCCAUCUUGCCAAAAAAAAAAAUCAAACAAACAUAAAAAAAAGUGUACAACAAGAUACGGGAAUCUCUCGAUUUGCCAACAACAAAAUAGUCCUACCUCCUUUAAUGAUCAACGCAGCAUCAAGAGUAUAUCAGAGAUGUAUGAAUGACAAAGCAGGACUCAGGAGGCUGUGUUCCCUUUUGUUUACAGCUGCCAACAUGUGCUGAAGAGCAACAGAGAGCACUGCUAACCCACAAACCACAAGAGCGCGCCCAGUCCCAGAGAGGAUGACUGCCCACUCUCCCCACCGCCACUGGCCGACCCCACGCCCCUAAGACACCAACACACACUCUCUUCAGGUUCUCUUUCACUACGACCGGAACAUUCCAGAGAAAUCCAGAAACACAGAGACGUUUUUAAAGAGGUAUUUUAAUACCCAUUGAAAGGAAUACAAAAAAAAAAGGACCAUGAUGCUCUGCUUUCCCCAUGCUCAGCCAAUCUAUGUGAACUACACACCCACACUCUAGCAGUGUUACAUGCUGACCUGUACCGUAGCUGUUCAUAUGAGAAAGUGCUAGAUCAAAAUGUGUUGUGCACACUUGCACUCGCACACAUGCAUAAAGAAAAAAAUAACAAUGGCUAAACACACACACACACACACACACACUCAUGCACAUACAAAGACACACAGACUUGCUCAAGUGCUCUGGACACAAACACAAGCUCACAGGAAUUUGUGUAUACAUUGGUGUAUACACACAACAUACAGAAAAACACACAGCCAGGCAUUUGCGAACACACACACACACACACCCGCACAUAUAAACACACAUAUUCAGACACACAUUUUCAAACACACACACACACACACACACACACACACACACAUCUGUCACAUUAAAUGCUCUGUAGCCUCUCACCAGGGUUUAGGGCCCAGGUAACCAUCCCCAUGACUCAUAUCACCUGCUGUAAGACAUUCAGUACAACAGUAAUGGCUACUUUGUAACCUCCUAUCCUGUGAUCUUUUUUAUUUUUCUGGAGAGAUUAAGAGACAGAACUAACAUUAAUAUAUACGACUUUUAUGUUUUUGAGAAAGUAAAGAGUAGUUUAUUGCUUAGUUUUUUAAAACUAUGAUAAUUAUAACUAUU